rnacentral:ncRNA from 1 species
CUCUUAUCCAGAGAGGUGGAGGGACUGGCCCUAUGAUACCUCGGCAACCGAUUGAUCAGGUGCUAAUUCCAGCAAAGCAGAUAGUGGGCUUUGGAAGAUAAGAG